rnacentral:rRNA from 1 species
ACGCGUGGAACCUUACCAGGUCUUGACAUCCUCUGACACUCCUAGAGAUAGGACGUUCCCCUUCGGGGGACAGAGUGACAGGUGGUGCAUGGUUGUCGUCAGCUCGUGUCGUGAGAUGUUGGGUUAAGUCCCGCAACGAGCGCAACCCUUGAUCUUAGUUGCCAGCAUUAAGUUGGGCACUCUAAGGUGACUGCCGGUGACAAACCGGAGGAAGGUGGGGAUGACGUCAAAUCAUCAUGCCCCUUAUGACCUGGGCUACACACGUGCUACAAUGGAUGGUACAAAGGGCUGCAAGACUGCGAAGUCAAGCCAAUCCCAUAAAACCAUUCUCAGUUCGGAUUGCAGGCUGCAACUCGCCUGCAUGAAGCUGGAAUCGCUAGUAAUCGCGGAUCAGCAUGCCGCGGUGAAUACGUUCCCGGGCCUUGCACACACCGCCCGU